AUAUUCUUUUCAUAAUACAAAUACAAACCACCAUUCCAUUAAAAAGUAGACGAAGGCCAAUUCACAAUAAUUAUUCCACGAUUAUUAAAAUCAUUAAAUCACUUAAAUCGUCUUCUUAAAAUUCGAAAAAAUUAACUUCAAUUUCGCGAUCGGUAUGCUCUUUUCGCAUGUACAAUACAUUUACAAAUAACUUUUUUAUUACAAUUGUUACCCUGAAAAUAGUGUAUGUGUAAAUAGAACAUACAUUAUUAUAUAAUAAAUAUGUAUGCUCAAGAAGAAAAUGUUGAUUCUUUAGUUCAUCAGGAAAAAAAUAUCUAUCCUUACGCAACAAUUUAUCAAUAAAAGAUAAAAUAUGAAAUAAUUUCGUGUUCAAAAUAUACAUGUACAAUCUUGUAUUUUAAAAGUAUAUUAAACAAACGAAGAAACAUCAUCAAAGUUCACCUUCGAUCACUUUGCUUUGUCGUUUCAUCAAUAAAAGCUUUGUUGCCAGAAGCGUUGAACAAUCAUUGUGAACGUUGUACACCUCGACAAGCUGCACUUGCACACAAAUUGACAAUAUUUAUGCAACGAAAUUAUCCCAAUGAAUGGGAAUCGAUUAUACGCCGUUAUGAAUUGCUCAAGUAUUUUAUGUAGGAUGAAAGGAUAUCAUGGAAAACAAUAUUUGACGCUGCAACAAAUUCUUGAGAGAUUCUAUAACUUUGAACGUACACGUUCUUGCAGAACAAUUCAGAGGGCCGAUAUAUUAAGUAAACUUUAAAAUCUAUAACGCAUCAUAUUACGCAUAUAUCGCUUCUUACAAACGAUCA